rnacentral:lncRNA from 1 species
UUACCACAAGGCAGCUUUGCUAACAGAGCUGUGAAGUCUGGUUACUGCUCAAGUCCUGCUGCCUGCUCAUGUUUCUUAGCCAUUAGCCACACCAGGAGAUAUUUUAGGAUAAAAGAACUCAUUUGAGAUUACUGGAGAAAGAAAAACUUCUAUGCACCAGGAGUCUACAAAGCAAAUGAUGCAGAAUAGAGAUAGUCCAUUUCCAGUGAUUUUAUGAGAAACAUGUCUUUUUCCUCCUGUGUUCUGUAGCUCAUUCUCACUCUGUUGGACUGAUUCCCAAGGAGUGGCCUUUCUGCACUGUUGUUACAGCUCUGAAAGCAGUCGUCAUUCAAGCUGACAAUACUCCAGAUAUUAAAAAAGCCAGAAAACCUGAUCUGAUCAUUUUCCAUCUAGACGGAAACUGGGGACAGCCUGAGGCAUUUGAUAACACCCAGGCCCCUCUG